rnacentral:lncRNA from 1 species
CAGAAAGUGAGCUCUCGGUUUUAGCUUAAGGUAGUGGUUCUUUGCCGGAUUUUUUUUUCCCCUCUCUCUUGGAAUGGUGAUUUGCAAGUCAUGGAGGGCUGUUCCUGAGCCUGAAAAACACCCAUAAAUCGAAGAAGAAGCUGCUGAAACGAGGAAGGAAAACUGCAGAAAUUUCGGCCAAGUACAGGUUGCAUUUUUCCAUCCCUUUUUCAUUGUUUUGCCUUAGAAUAUCUUCUAUUGGUUGAUGUUUUGGUUGAUUGAACUCCAAGGAUCCCCAACAAGUAGAAUUCACCCGCAGCCCGAGGAUGGUACCCAGUGAGAUGAUUGAAGUCUUUAUCGCACUGAGCAAUUGUUAGAGAAACUGAGUCCCCCAACAUGUAACGAGAAAUAGGCCAGCCGGAGUUUAUUGGGCGGAUUAUAUUGCCAGAGAAUGGAAGAAAAUGCUUGAGAGUUUCGCGGAGAGAUUGUUUGAGCUUUGGAACAAUGGUUUCCAGGAAAUGAACCUUGGAGCAAGGGAAUUCAAAGAAGAGAAGCCCAUAUACUGGAUUAAAAUCCAAGCAUAUUAUAUCGAAGGAUACAAGGGGAAGUGUUAACUCAUUGACGUUGCUUGGUAAAGGCUGAAUAUGACAUUGCUCAAGAAUAGUAGCCAUUGGAAUUAUAAGCUCUGAAAAUAUUGAACCAACUAUAGAAACUCUUGAACUGGACAAUAGGGCGUCUUGUAUAUCCUAUCUCUUUAUAGAUACAGUCAAAUAAUUUGGUUCCUAGCCAAUCAACUCUUUCCUCACAUAAUAUCUCAUCAGCCAUCUUGCUCGCCUAACACUUUAUUUUCCUUUUCGGAAAUUUUCAAUAUUGGUCCCAAGUUAUUUUAUAGUUUCAAG